UGGGGAAUAUUGGACAAUGGGCGCAAGCCUGAUCCAGCCAUGCCGCGUGAGUGAUGAAGGCCUUAGGGUUGUAAAGCUCUUUCGCCGGUGAAGAUAAUGACGGUAACCGGAGAAGAAGCCCCGGCUAACUUCGUGCCAGCAGCCGCGGUAAUACGAAGGGGGCUAGCGUUGCUCGGAAUCACUGGGCGUAAAGCGCACGUAGGCGGAUCGUUAAGUCAGGGGUGAAAUCCUGGAGCUCAACUCCAGAACUGCCCUUGAUACUGGCGAUCUCGAGUUCGAGAGAGGUUGGUGGAACUCCGAGUGUAGAGGUGAAAUUCGUAGAUAUUCGGAAGAACACCAGUGGCGAAGGCGGCCAACUGGCUCGAUACUGACGCUGAGGUGCGAAAGCGUGGGGAGCAAAACAGGAUUAGAUACCCUGGUAGUCCACGCCGUAAAACGAUGGAUGCUAGCCGUUGGGGGGUUUACCUCUCAGUGGCGCAGCUAACGCCUUAAGCAUCCCGCCUGGGGAGUACGGUCGCAAGAUUAAAACUCAAAUGAAUUGACGGGGUCAUAGCUG
rnacentral:rRNA from 1 species